rnacentral:tRNA from 2 species
GCCGGCGUAGCUCAGCGGUAGAGCAACUGAUUCGUAAUCAGUAGGUCCGGGGUUCAAAUCCCCGCGCCGGCUCCA